CUUUAGAGUGCACCCAGCUGGACCAGGGUGUGCAGCAGUGUCCUUUAUAAUUAAUCUUAGACUGGAGGAAAAGGAAAUGGUGAUGGUCCUGCAUUACAGCCAGUCUCUAAUGCUAGUGUCAGCCCCCAGAAGGGCCAGUGACCACCUGAGUUAGUUGUGUGGGGAGUUUGCUUUGGAAAGGUGUCAGAGAAUGGCUUGGGAAAGAAGAACUGAGAGAGGAGAACCCUAAGCUGCCUGGGUGAAAUGAAAAAUUGUAUCUGCUGGAAAUCUACAGGAUCACUUGUCAGAAGAUUACACCUCUGCUGGCCUACAAUCUACAGCAUAGAGUUGUUGAAGUCCUUUCUCUGCCACUUCAGACAGAAGUACCUAAUUCACUACAAUCCCAAACCUGGAUAUACAACAGCAGUAAAGCAAGGUUAUCUUCUUUUGCCACAAGAGGGAUGAGAAAAAAAAAAACAGCUGAAUGUGGUCCUAAACACCAAAGGAUCACGUGGCAUGUUUGAGAGUACAUACAACUACAGGUCAGUACCCUCAGGGAACCAGGACUGGGUAGAUGGCAGCCUUGUGCAGCCCUUCCAAGGCAGUAGAAGUGACUUGGCUUCAGUUAAGAAGAGGUCCAGAAUGGUUCCACCUCAUUCCAAGUGCCUGGAGGCACAUAUGUGUCACACACAGUGCCAACCCACUGGACAAAAGGAUAUAAUCCGGGAUGAUUGAUCAAUUUGAUAUCCUACAGGUUAAUUUUGCCCAUGAAUGGCCAUUGACUUCAGAGCUCUCUCCAUGACCUAUGUUGUUUAA